AAGCUCAAAUUUGAAAUCUGGCAUCUUCGGUGUUCGAGUUGUAAUUUGAAGAUGGUAUCCUUGGGUUUGGCUCUUGUCUAUGUUCCUUGGAACAGGACGUCAUAGAGGGUGAGAAUCCCGUCAGAUGAGAUGCCCCUUCCUAUGUAAGGGGCUCUCCAAAAAACCAGUUGGUUGGGAAUGGCACUCCUAGUGGGUGGGAAAUUCCCUCCAAAGCUAAAUAUUGGCGAAAAAACCAAAGCCAACAAAUACCGUGAUGGAAAAAAGAAAAAAACUUUUAAAAAAAAAUGAAAAAAUACCUGAAAUUGGUGAAAGGGAAGGGCUUUAAAACAAAAUUGGUGUUUUACAAUUAUCUUCCCUUCUUGAGGUGCGCACUCGUAUUUCACUGCGCCAUCAUCUAUUCCGAUGGGAAAAUAGUGGCAGAUGAAUGUGCCUUCUCUUCAGUGGAGUGUUAUAUCUUCAGCUGAUAUUGCCUGACAGUGACGAGGGCUGCUUCUUUUGACUAAGGAUGCUGGCAUAA
rnacentral:rRNA from 1 species